ACAAUGUUUGUGAAUGGGACAAAAGAUCAGGCUUGAUCGCCCUGUAGCUGGCCACCUUUGACGAGGGUGUCUAGUGUUGAAAGGCCGAAACACCCCGUGAUUCAAAGGUACACUACUGAUGAUGUGUCCCGAAAUUUACA